UACGGAAGGCAGCAGUGGGGAAUAUUGCACAAUGGGCGAAAGCCUGAUGCAGCUAUGCCGCGUGUAUGAAGAAGGCCUUAGGGUUGUAAAGUACUUUCAUCGGGGAGGAAAAAACAAAACUAAUAAUUUUAUUUCUUGACGUUACCCGAAAAAGAAGCACCGGCUAACUCCGUGCCAGCAGCCGCGGUAAUACGGAGGGUGCUAGCGUUAAUCAGAAUUACUGGGCGUAAAGAGCACGUAGGUGGUUUUUUAAGUCAGAUGUGAAAUCCCUGGGCUUAACCUAGGAACUGCAUUUUGAAACUGAAAUACUAGAGUAUCGUAGAGGGAGGUAGAAUUCUAGGUGUAGCGGUGAAAUGCGUAGAUAUCUGGAGGAAUACCUGUGGCGAAAGCGGCCUCCUAAACGAAUACUGACACUGAGGGUGCGAAAGCGUGGGGAGCAAACAGGGAUUAGAUA
rnacentral:rRNA from 1 species